GAUGAGCAGCCUAAGUGACUGCAGUGCUGGGCCAUCUCCUGCAUGGUGGAGCUCCCCUCGAGCCGCCUGUCUGCAGGGGGCUCUGGCCAGUAGUGCAGCCGGGCAGGGUCUGUACGGCACAGGCUGCACCAGCCUCCAUGCAGACCAGUCUGUGUGGGAGUGGGGGUCUCAGAGGGCCCAGCCGGCCUAUGCCAUGAGCAUGGUGCUGGCCCAGAGGGGGAGCUGAACAGCAGCUGGGUCGGUGCGUUACCUGGUGGGGCAGCAGACAGCAGCUGCCCUGGCUGGGGUUCAAGCCCCGGGCUGGCCUGGUGGAAUCCCCUCUCCGUCACCCCCAGGUUCUGUUCUUGCAGGUGUCAGGCCUGGGGCCUUGAGACAGACCUGCAGUCUCCACCACAGCCACAGUGGGUGGGGUCUGGGUCCUCACGGAGGUGAUCCUCCACCCCCACACCUACCUUGUGCAUGGCAGUGGUGUCUCCUGGAGCUGGUGAGACCCCACCUCACUCAGGAAACCCCCCAGACGCCCCCAGGCAGAAGUGGCCAUACUCCAGGGCCUGCAUCCCUGUGCCCCACAGUGCGCCCUGGCCGGUUGGUUGUAGGAACUCAGAAAAGCAAAGCAAACAGGAUGGUUCCCUGCUGGACACAUUACAUUCCCUGCUGGACACAUUUCUAUUGCAGAUCUUUAGUCCAGGAUUCCAGGGUAGCCAAGGUCACCUGAGUCCUGGGGACUCUGGGCCUGGUCUCUGAAAGCAGCCAGUAAGACAGAGAUGGGAAACCCAGCAAGAUGGAGUGAGCCAAGGGCACAGUUGGGUCCAGGCGCAGCAGGGAGCUGCCUGGGGGUGACACACACUUGACGGAGGCCACUGCACACACCCUACCCCGGCCUGAACUUGAG
rnacentral:lncRNA from 1 species